CCUACGGGAGGCAGCAGUAGGGAAUAUUGCUCAAUGGGGGAAACCCUGAAGCAGCAACGCCGCGUGGAGGAUGAAGGUUUUCGGAUUGUAAACUCCUUUUGUUAGAGACGAUAAUGACGGUAUCUAACGAAUAAGCACCGGCUAACUCCGUGCCAGCAGCCGCGGUAAUACGGAGGAUGCGAGCGUUAUCCGGAUUUAUUGGGUUUAAAGGGUGCGUAGGCGGACUGGAAAGUCAGCGGUAAAAUCGAGAGGCUCAACCUCUUUCCGCCGUUGAAACUGUCGGUCUUGAGUGGGCGAGAAGUAUGCGGAAUGCGUGGUGUAGCGGUGAAAUGCAUAGAUAUCACGCAGAACUCCGAUUGCGAAGGCAGCAUACCGGCGCCCGACUGACGCUGAGGCACGAAAGCGUGGGUAUCGAACAGGAUUAGAUACCCUAGUAGUC
rnacentral:rRNA from 1 species